GUCCACGCCCUAAACGAUGGAUGCUAGUUGUUGGAGGGCUUAGUCUCUCCAGUAAUGCAGCUAACGCAUUAAGCAUCCCGCCUGGGGAGUACGGUCGCAAGAUUAAAACUCAAAGGAAUAGACGGGGACCCGCACAAGCGGUGGAGCAUGUGGUUUAAUUCGAAGAUACACGAAGAACCUUACCUAGGCUUGACAUUGAGAGAAUCCGCUAGAAAUAGUGGAGUGUCUGGCUUGCUAGACCUUGAAAACAGGUGCUGCACGGCUGUCGUCAGCUCGUGUCGUGAGAUGUUGGGUUAAGUCCCGCAACGAGCGCAACCCCCUUUCUUAGUUGCUAACAGGUUAUGCUGAGAACUCUAAGGAUACUGCCUCCGUAAGGAGGAGGAAGGUGGGGACGACGUCAAGUCAUCAUGGCCCUUACGCCUAGGGCUACACACGUGCUACAAUGGGGUGCACAAAGAGAAGCAAUACUGCGAAGUGGAGCCAAUCUUCAAAACACCUCUCAGUUCGGAUUGUAGGCUGCAACUCGCCUGCAUGAAGCUGGAAUCGCUAGUAAUCGCAAAUCAGCCAUGUUGCGGUGAAUACGUUCCCGGGUCUUGUACUCACCGCCCGUCACACCAUGGGAGUUGUGUUUGCCUUAAGUCAGGAUGCUAAAUUGGCUACUGCCCACGGCACACACAGCGACUGGGGUGAAGUCGUAACAAGGUAACCGUAGGUGAACCUGCGGUUGGAUCACCUCCUUUCUAGA
rnacentral:rRNA from 1 species